rnacentral:rRNA from 1 species
AACGAACGCUGGCGGCAUGCCUAACACAUGCAAGUCGAACGAGACCUUCGGGUCUAGUGGCGCACGGGUGCGUAACGCGUGGGAACCUGCCCUUAGGUUCGGAAUAACUCCCCGAAAGGGGUGCUAAUACCGGAUAAUGUCUUCGGACCAAAGAUUUAUCGCCUUUGGAUGGGCCCGCGUUGGAUUAGCUAGUUGGUAGGGUAAAAGCCUACCAAGGCGACGAUCCAUAGCUGGUCUGAGAGGAUGAUCAGCCACACUGGGACUGAGACACGGCCCAGAAUCCUACGGGAGGCAGCAGUGGGGAAUAUUGGACAAUGGGCGAAAGCAUGAUCCAGCAAUGCCGCGUGAGUGAUGAAGGCCGUAGGGUUGUAAAGCUCUUUUACCCGGGAUGAUAAUGACAGUACCGGGAGAAUAAGCCCCGGCUAACUCCGUG